UGGGGAAUAUUGGGCAAUGGGCGAAAGCCUGACCCAGCAACGCCGCGUGAGUGAUGAAGGCCUUCGGGUUGUAAAACUCUUUGGACAGGGACGAAGAAAGUGACGGUACCUGUAGAACAAGCCACGGCUAACUACGUGCCAGCAGCCGCGGUAAUACGUAGGUCCCGAGCGUUGUCCGGAUUUAUUGGGCGUAAAGCGAGCGCAGGCGGUUAGAAAAGUCUGAAGUGAAAGGCAGUGGCUCAACCAUUGUAGGCUUUGGAAACUGUUUAACUUGAGUGCAGAAGGGGAGAGUGGAAUUCCAUGUGUAGCGGUGAAAUGCGUAGAUAUAUGGAGGAACACCGGUGGCGAAAGCGGCUCUCUGGUCUGUAACUGACGCUGAGGCUCGAAAGCGUGGGUAGCAAACAGG
rnacentral:rRNA from 1 species